rnacentral:rRNA from 1 species
AGUGAACGCUGGCGGUAGGCCUAACACAUGCAAGUCGAACGGCAGCACAGGAGAGCUUGCUCUCUGGGUGGCGAGUGGCGGACGGGUGAGGAAUACAUCGGAAUCUACCUUUUCGUGGGGGAUAACGUAGGGAAACUUACGCUAAUACCGCAUACGACCUACGGGUGAAAGUGGGGGACCGCAAGGCCUCACGCGAUUAGAUGAGCCGAUGUCCGAUUAGCUAGUUGGCGGGGUAAUGGCCCACCAAGGCGACGAUCGGGAGCUGGUCUGAGAGGCUGAGCAGCCACACUGGAACUGAGACACGGUCCAGACUCCUACGGGAGGCAGCAGUGGGGAAUAUUGGACAAUGGGCGCAAGCCUGAUCCAGCCAUACCGCGUGGGUGAAGAAGGCCUUCGGGUUGUAAAGCCCUUUUGUUGGGAAAGAAAUCCUGUCGAUUAAUACUCGGUGGGGAUGACGGUACCCAAAGAAUAAGCACCGGCUAACUUCGUGCCAGCAGCCGCAGUAAUAC